rnacentral:rRNA from 1 species
UACAGAGGCCUCGAGCGUUAGGCGGAAUCACUGGGCUUAAAGCGUGUGUAGGUGGAUUGAUAAGUACCUUGUGAAAUCCCACGGCUUAACCGUGGAACUGCUGGGUAUACUGUCGAUCUUGAGCCACUCAGGGGCUACCGGAACAAAUGGUGGAGCGGUGAAAUGCGUAGAUAUCAUUUGGAACGCCAAUGGUGAAAACAGGUAGCUGGGGGUGUGCUGACACUGAGACACGAAAGCCAGGGGAGCGAACGGG